AUGCACGCUGGCGGCGUGCCUAAUCCAUGCAAGUCGAGCGAACAGACGAGGAGCUUGCUCCUCUGACGUUAGCGGCGGACGGGUGAGUAACACGUGGAUAACCUACCUAUAAGACUGGGAUAACUUCGGGAAACCGGAGCUAAUACCGGAUAAUAUAUUGAACCGCAUGGUUCAAUAGUGAAAGACGGUUUUGCUGUCACUUAUAGAUGGAUCCGCGCCGCAUUAGCUAGUUGGUAAGGUAACGGCUUACCAAGGCAACGAUGCGUAGCCGACCUGAGAGGGUGAUCGGCCACACUGGAACUGAGACACGGUCCAGACUCCUACGGGAGGCAGCAGUAGGGAAUCUUCCGCAAUGGGCGAAAGCUUGACGGAGCAACGCCGCGUGAGUGAUGAAGGUCUUCGGAUCGUAAAACUCUGUUAUUAGGGAAGAACAAAUGUGUAAGUAACGAUGCACGUCUUGACGGUACCUAAUCAGAAAGCCACGGCUAACUACGUGC
rnacentral:rRNA from 1 species